rnacentral:rRNA from 1 species
UCGAUUUGAAGGUUGUUCCCUUGAGGAGUGGCUUUCGGAGCUAACGCGUUAAAUCGACCGCCUGGGGAGUACGGCCGCAAGGUUAAAACUCAAAUGAAUUGACGGGGGCCCGCACAAGCGGUGGAGCAUGUGGUUUAAUUCGAUGCAACGCGAAGAACCUUACCUACUCUUGACAUCCAGAGAAUUUAGCAGAGAUGCUUUAGUGCCUUCGGGAACUCUGAGACAGGUGCUGCAUGGCUGUCGUCAGCUCGUGUUGUGAAAUGUUGGGUUAAGUCCCGCAACGAGCGCAACCCUUAUCCUUUGUUGCCAGCGAUUCGGUCGGGAACUCAAAGGAGACUGCCGGUGAUAAACCGGAGGAAGG